UACGUAGGGUGCGAGCGUUGUCCGGAAUUAUUGGGCGUAAAGAGCGCGCAGGCGGCUUGGUAAGUCGGAUGUGAAAUCCCGAGGCUCAACCUCGGGUCUGCAUCCGAUACUGCCCGGCUAGAGGUAGGUAGGGGAGAUCGGAAUUCCUGGUGUAGCGGUGAAAUGCGCAGAUAUCAGGAGGAACACCGAUGGCGAAGGCAGGUCUCUGGGCAUUAACUGACGCUGAGGAGCGAAAGCAUGGGGAGCGAACAGG
rnacentral:rRNA from 1 species